UACGUAGGGUGCAAGCGUUAAUCGGAAUUACUGGGCGUAAAGCGCCCGCAGGCGGCUUGGCAAGUUCGAGGUGAAAUCUCCCGGCUCAACUGGGAAGGUGCCUCGGAAACUGCCAGGCUUGAGGCAGGGAGAGGGAUGUGGAAUUCCCGGUGUAGCGGUGAAAUGCGUAGAUAUCGGGAGGAAUACCUAUGGCGAAAGCAGGUCUCUGGGCCAUCACUGACGCUGAGCUGCGAAAGCUAGGGGAGCAAACAGG
rnacentral:rRNA from 1 species